rnacentral:lncRNA from 1 species
AUGGAUAGACAAGAGCAGUGUUAUCUGUCCUGUGGAAGUCCAGUGUGGAAGAACUACUCAAGCAAUAAUACCAAAAUAAUUCAGAAAACUGAAGGAGAUAGUUACAGCCUUUUGUCAGACCUGAAACAUCACCACUUGAAGAUGUUCCAUUAUUAUUUUAUGGACUAUGAAGAAAGAAAGAAAGGCCUCCUAGUAUAAUUGCAGGAUGCCAUCAAUAGCAAAAUGCAGGCUAAUUUCAAUUAUGGUAGAAUGUGAAAACUGCUGGGUCACCCAGACCCUGACAAUGAAGCGUGAACGAGUGAUUACAGAUCAUCCAUUUCCAGACAACUGAGUAUUGAAAUAACCAUUUUCUUGGAAAUUUUGACUAACUCAUAAAAUCGAAAUUCUAGGAUCCCUGAGCACCUAGAAUUCACUGUUUAUCAGUGAUCACCAAAUGAAAAAAAUAAUGAAUGAAUGAGAAAUGGAAGAAUUAAGGCUACAAUUGAAAAGAGUCUCUGCUCAUAAAUAGCACUGGAAAUUAUGUAAAACAACAACAAAUGUCCUAGAGAAAGGCAGAUGGAAAGCUAUAAUGAUACAAAAAUAAGGAACACUUGGGUGGACAUUUUCUUAAUUAAAAUAGCAGAGCCCGGGUAAUCCCACCAUGGAUAACCUGGAAUAUUUUUAGAAAAACCUGACAUCAUUUUGAUGCAAUGAAGCUAUAUUAAAAUAUACCGAAUUCCCGUCCUGUGUCUAUCCUAGAUAGGUAAAUCAAUAGUCACCAUUUUUAGGAGGUGGAUCUUAAUUCAUCUUGACUGAUUUAUGAAUUCUGUACAUAUGGAUGCCUGAUCCUAACCCACUAAUUUAAUAAGUCCAAUUUACAACAUCAGAAAAAUUUUUGGAUGAUUCCCACAGAGAGAAUGUUCAUUCUUUCCAAGGGAUUGGGCUUGUUGUAUUCAACUGAGGUAACUAUCCAUUGUUUAAACUAUUACUAUUUUCAGACAUUUUAUGAGAAAGGAGUCACACACAUUUCUGUAACUAAUGAAUUAUUAUCCUGCUUAGAGUUAAUUUUUCAGUCACUUUGCAUAAUUACAUGAGCUAGCUUUCCCCAAGAUGAUGAUGAUUAUUUUGGGGAGACUGCAGGGGAAUAUUUUCAUUUAAGUUUCUUUGGAAUAUUAUCACAUUCCACAGUGUGGCUUUGUUUAGUUAAGUACCUGCGUUU